GCCGGGAUGGCGGAAUGGUAGACGCGGCGGACUUAAAAUCCGUUUGGGUUCACCCCCAGUGGGGGUUCGAGUCCCCCUCCCGGCA
rnacentral:tRNA from 1 species